rnacentral:rRNA from 1 species
UACGUAGGGUGCAAGCGUUAAUCGGAAUUACUGGGCGUAAAGCGUGCGCAGGCGGUUUUGUAAGUCUGUCGUGAAAGCCCCGGGCUCAACCUGGGAAUUGCGAUGGAGACUGCAAGGCUUGAAUCUGGCAGAGGGGGGUAGAAUUCCACGUGUAGCAGUGAAAUGCGUAGAUAUCUGGAGGAACACCGGUGGCGAAGGCGGCAUCCUGGACCGAGAUUGACGCUGAGGCGCGAAAGCCAGGGGAGCAAACGGG